GUGACAAGGAGAGGGGAGGAGACAUCUGAGACUGAGCCACCAAGGGCAGGGAGGAGUCAGAGCCUUGGUGCUGCCCCUUUUUUCUGUUAAAUACCUUGAUUCUUGACAGCAAAUGAGGGAUUUUGCUGCACCUUGCGAAGAGGAAAAACAGAUUGGAACAGGAAAGCCUUUGAGUGACUGCAGAAUUAUCAAAACUCCAGAAAAAUCCUUUUGCACCGACUGUUACACUCAACAGAAGAGUCUGAUGUUUUUUGUGACAGCCAUCUAAAAAUGUUCGGUUUGAAGUGGUGUCAGCUUUGUUGAAGAAAAGCUCCGUAAUGGUGGAAGAUGUGGGAUUUUUCAGAAAAACAGCCUUUUGCCUCAAUCCACAUCCUAAAAUACAAGUAAAGUGUUAUCAUUUGCUUGGAGCAGUGCCUGGCAAUGGGAAUCAUGGCUCUGUGAAGCAGAGAACAAAUCUGAGUAGAGCUGGUCUGGGAGCAGGAUGAGAUCAAUGCUUUGGAGAGAAAAACCACUGGGAUUGAUCACAAGAUACAGAGUAUAUUGUGUAAAAAAACCUCAUAGUCUGCUUGGAAUAAAGAAAAAUAAAAUCUAUAGAGAUUAUUUCAAUAUAGGUAGGGUGUCACUUACAUUCUUUGAGGGUUUCAGUGGCCUUGACACUUCCAUGUGGAAUGGAGAUGUGCCAGCAUUGCAGUUCAAGACAUGGAGUUUACAACCCUUUUCCUCACCUAAGGAGAUUAAAGCCAGAAAUGAAAUUUCCAUUCAGCAUCACGCUCCUCUGGCAUGUUAAUCUGUGCAGUGCCAUCUCUACGCAGUGCUUGCCUGUUGUUGUGUCCCAGGGCCUGAACUCUGUCUGUUAACUUUGUGCAAAUUGCUCCAAAUUUGAGGCUGAGGGAGAAGGUUUUGCCUCGAGCCCCCGAAGUACCGAGUCAGCGCUCCAUGGACACACGCAAGGUCACUGCUGGCACGGGUGGGUCAC